rnacentral:rRNA from 1 species
CCUACGGGAGGCAGCAGUGAGGAAUAUUGGUCAAUGGGCGAGAGCCUGAUCCAGCGAAGUAGCGUGAGGGAUGAAUGCCCUACGGGUUGUAAACUUCUUUUAUGCAGGAACAAAGUAAGGCACGUGUACCUUUUUGUAUGUACUUUAUGAAUACGGAUCGGCUAACUCCGUUCCAGCAGCCGCGGUAAUACGGAGUAUCCGAGCGUUAUCCGGAUUUAUUGGGUUGAAAGGGUGCGUAGGUGGGUUGGUAAGGCAGUUGUGAAAGUUUGGGGCGCAACCGUAAAAUUGCAAUUGAUACUGGGAGCCUAGAGUACAGUUGAGGGAGGCGGAAUUCGUGGUGUAGCGGUGAAAUGCGUAGAUAGCACGAAGAACACCGGUGGCGAAGGCGGGCUACUGGACUGUAACUGACGUUGAGGCACGAAAGCGUGGGGAGCGAACAGGAUUAGAUACCCGAGUAGUC